UACGGAGGGUGCGAGCGUUGCUCGGAAUCACUGGGCGUAAAGCGCACGUAGGCGGCUUUCUAAGUCAGGGGUGAAAUCCUGGAGCUCAACUCCAGAACUGCCUUUGAUACUGGAGAGCUUGAGUCCGGAAGAGGUGAGUGGAACUCCGAGUGUAGAGGUGAAAUUCGUAGAUAUUCGGAAGAACACCAGUGGCGAAGGCGGCUCACUGGUCCGGUACUGACGCUGAUGUGCGAAAGCGUGGGGAGCAAACAGG
rnacentral:rRNA from 1 species